GAAUGCAGUUUCGCUGCUUACGUAACAUCUACUUUCCCGUCAUUCUAAUCGUGAUAAUAAAACAAUUACCCAGUUGUGUGUAUGCCAGGCGAGGCAAUUGCCACAUGCCAAUGACGCGUUUUAUUGUUUUGCUACACGUGUUUUUCGUUAUAUAAACCUUUCACUUUCCUGUACUGCCAGGCAGUACGGGGCUUGCAAUACCCUGCUGUUCUCACUUUGCCUCUAAGCACGAUGUCGCUCUUUCACCGUACAAUAAACUGAGCUGUGCCGUACAAUGUCUUACAUCGAUAUGCAAUCAGCGUUGCGGAGUCGGAUAGCGUGUGCGUCGGGGCAGGAUGGAACAGCGUCGUCGCGAGGCUGCGGAGCGCGAACCCUCAACUUCAACAUUAGCCGCCCCCACACACUUUACAAAAC